AACGACUCUCGGCAACGGAUAUCUCGGCUCACGCAUCGAUGAAGAACGUAGCAAAAUGCGAUACUUGGUGUGAAUUGCAGAAUCCCGUGAACCAUCGAGUUUUUGAACGCAAGUUGCGCCCGAAGCCAUUGGCGAGGGCACGUCUGCCUGGGCGUCACGC
rnacentral:rRNA from 1 species